CUCUGUGACUCCUACGGGAGGCAGCAGUGGGGAAUAUUGCACAAUGGGGGAAACCCUGAUGCAGCCAUGCCGCGUGUGUGAAGAAGGCCUUCGGGUUGUAAAGCACUUUCAGUAGGGAGGAAGGUAGUGUAGUUAACACCUGCAUUAUUUGACGUUACCUACAGAAGAAGCACCGGCUAACUCCGUGCCAGCAGCCGCGGUAAUACGGAGGGUGCGAGCGUUAAUCGGAAUUACUGGGCGUAAAGCGCAUGCAGGCGGCCUGUUAAGUCAGAUGUGAAAGCCCGGGGCUUAACCUCGGAAUUGCAUUUGAAACUGGCAGGCUAGAGUCUUGUAGAGGGGGUAGAAUUUCAGGUGUAGCGGUGAAAUGCGUAGAGAUCUGAAGGAAUACCAGUGGCGAAGGCGGCCCCCCUGGACAAAGACUGACGCUCAGAUGCGAAAGCGUGGGGAGCAAACAGGAUUAGAUACCCUGGUAG
rnacentral:rRNA from 1 species